GUCUGCUGCGCCAUACCACGUUGAAAGCACCAGUUCCCAUCUGAACACUGAAGUUAAGCAACGUCGGGCCAGCGUAGUACUGGGAUGGGAGACCGCCCGGGAAUUGCUGGUGCUGCAGACU
rnacentral:rRNA from 1 species